GCCCUGGGUGAGCUGGCGGAGGUUGAACGGGCCGCUCCCCCCGGACCGGGCCGCCUUCGACAACUUCAACAAGACGCUGCGGCUGCGGGACGUGGAGGAGGCGGACGAUGGCGAGUACGAGUGCGCGGCCACCAACAGCCACGGCCGCGCCCGCCGCAGCUACAUCGUCACCGUCGAGGCGGCCCCGUACUGGGUGAGACGCCCCCAGAGCGGGAUCUUCGGGCCGGGGGAGACGGCGAAGCUCGACUGUGUGGUGGGGGGCAAACCCCGACCCCAAAUCACCUGGAGCCUCAACGGGGUCCCCUUCGAGGAAUUCCCCCCCUCGGGUCGGUGGGAGCUGCGGGGGGGGGGCCCUGGUGCUGUCCCGGCUGGAGCCCAACGACUCCCUGGUGGCCCAGUGCGAGGCCUCCAACCGGCACGGGCGGCUGCUGGCCAACGCCUUCGUCCACG